GCUUGUCUCAAAGAUUAAGCCAUGCAUGUCUAAGUACAAGCCUCAGUAAGGUGAAACCGCGAAUGGCUCAUUAAAUCACACCUAAUCUACUGGAAAGUUACUAGUUACUUGGAUAACUGAGGUAAUUCUAGAGCUAAUACAUGCGAAAAGACGCGACUCACGAAGCGUUGUAUUUAUUAGAUACAAAACCAAUGCGGGGCAACCCGGUAUAAGGUGUGCCCUAUCAACUGUCGACUGUGAUAUAGACGCUCACAGUGGUUUUGACGGGUAACGGGGAAUCAGGGUUCGAUUCCGGAGAGGGAGCCUUAAAAACGGCUACCACAUCCAAGGAAGGCAGCAGG
rnacentral:rRNA from 1 species